AUUCUUACCUGGCAAAGGGAGAUACUAUGAUCAUGAAGGGGUGCUCCCAGGGUGAGGUUUAUCUAUUGCACUCCAGAUAUGCUGACCUCUGCAAUAUCCCCAAAUUGUUGAACCCUGGGUUAUCUCAGGACAAAC
ensembl:snRNA U1 U1 spliceosomal RNA